CAAGUAGAGGUUGCGCGAAGCAUGAGUAAAGGAUCUGAUGCACCAGAAGCAGAAGAUGAUUCCUGAAAGGGUGGGCGCCGAAGAUACAGGACGGACUGGACGUCAUUUAUCUGGGUACAGGGUGAACAAUCCUGUAACUGUCAUCCGACCGGAUGGAGAGCUACUU
rnacentral:ncRNA from 1 species